AGACGAAGGUGGCAACCGUUGUUCGGAAUCACUGGGCAUAAAGCGCACGUAGGCGGGAGUGCAAGUCGGGUGUGAAAUCCCUCGGCCCAACCGAGGAACUGCGCCCGAAACUGCACUCCUUGAGGACAGCAGGGGAGCGUGGAAUUCCUGGUGGAGCGGUGAAAUGCGUUGAUAUCAGGAGGAACACCGGCGGCGAAGGCGACGCUCUGGGCUGUUUCUGACGCUGAGGUGCGAAAGCCAGGGGAGCAAACGGGAUUAGAAACCCCAGUAGUCC
rnacentral:rRNA from 1 species